CGUGGCUGGACACAUCCGCAGAACCGUCAUAUGCUUUAGGAUGGUUCUCUUCUCCAUGGACACAUCCAUAGACUAAGCGGCUAAAUCUGACUUGU